UUGAACGCUGGCGGCAUGCUUUACCCAUGCAAGUCGAACGGUAACAGGCCGCAAGGUGCUGACGAGUGGCGAACGGGUGAGUAAUGCAUCGGAACGUGCCCAGUCGUGGGGGAUAACUACUCGAAAGAGUAGCUAAUACCGCAUACGAUCUAUGGAUGAAAGCGGGGGACCGUAAGGCCUCGCGCGAUUGGAGCGGCCGAUGUCAGAUUAGGUAGUUGGUGGGGUAAAGGCUCACCAAGCCAACGAUCUGUAGCUGGUCUGAGAGGACGACCAGCCACACUGGGACUGAGACACGGCCCAGACUCCUACGGGAGGCAGCAGUGGGGAAUUUUGGACAAUGGGCGCAAGCCUGAUCCAGCAAUGCCGCGUGCAGGAAGAAGGCCUUCGGGUUGUAAACUGCUUUUGUACGGAACGAAACGGCUCUGGUUAAUACCCGGGGCUAAUGACGGUACCGUAAGAAUAAGCACCGGCUAACUACGU
rnacentral:rRNA from 1 species